CCAACAAAAGGAUAAGACUUGGUCUUAGUGUAUAGGAGUUUUUGAAAAUAGAAUAGUAGAAUAGAUAAAUGUAAGGAGCAAUAAACUCUUUCUUGUUCUAUCMAGAGGGGUUAUUGCUCCUUUAUUUUCUUUUGAAUUAGUAGUCUUUUAUUGUACUUACCUAGAUUCCAUUUCUAUUACAGAAAAGGAAAGGGUAUUCUUGGGGGUAAUGAUUGAAUACUAUUCUUUUGUUCUGUAUAAUUUUUUUUUUCAUUUAUCUAACUUCUUGUAAAAAGGUUGGAAAGUUUUUUAUUCGUUUAAAACGAAUAAAAAAUCGACCUUUUGCUUAAUCUUUUUAUUUUAAACAUAAAAGAGAAAAAAAAAGAAAGAAGAUAAAAAAAAAUGAUUGAAAUUCCMCCCCUUGUCUUACGUCUUACAAUUUCUAAAAAUCCAAAUUGCAAAAUCGAAUUUUUAAAAUAAAAAAAUAUUAAUAUAAAUAUAUUUACAAAGAAAAUAAAUUCUAGUAGAGGGGCGGAUGU
rnacentral:misc_RNA from 1 species